GAAGUGUAUGAAAGGACAGCAGGUUAGCACGCCCCUUGACAAGGACAGAAGAGUCCCUCAGGCCUGACGACACAAACACGAUUAAGGCAUUGCCACCUACUUCCUGGCAUCUAAAAAGAAAAAAGG